rnacentral:rRNA from 1 species
AACGCGAAGAACCUUACCUGGGUUUGACAUGUACUGGAAGAGUGGCAGAAACGCCCUCGCUCGCAAGAGUCGGUACACAGGUGCUGCAUGGCUGUCGUCAGCUCGUGUCGUGAGAUGUUGGGUUAAGUCCCGCAACGAGCGCAACCCUUGCUUUUAGUUGCCAGCAUUAAGUUGGGCACUCUAGAAGGACUGCCGACGUUAAGUCGGAGGAAGGUGGGGAUGACGUCAAGUCCUCAUGGCCCUUAUAUCCAGGGCUACACACGUGAUACAAUGGUGGUCACAGAGGGAAGCUAAGUCGCAAGAACAAGCAAAUCCCUUAAAAGCCAUCUAAGUUCAGAUUGGAGUCUGCAACUCGACUCCAUGAAGGCGGAAUCGCUAGUAAUCGCGGAUCAGAACGCCGCGGUGAAUACGUUCCCGGGCCUUGUACACACCGGCUAC